rnacentral:rRNA from 1 species
UCCGUAGGCGGUGCGGCAAGUCGGAAGUGAAAUCUCAGGGCUUAACCCUGAGGCUGCUUCCGAAACUGCCGUGCUCGAGUGCGAGAGAGGCGAGUGGAAUUGCGAGGUGUAGCGGUGAAAUGCGUAGAUAUCUGCAGGAACAUCCGAGGCGAAAGCGGCUCGCUGGAUCGCAACUGACGCUGAGGGACGAAAGCUAGGGGAGCAAACAGGAUUAGAUACCCUGGUAGUCCUAGCCCUAAACGAUCAGGACUGGGCGUGGGCCUCGUACGGGGCUCGUGCCGCAGCUAACGCGUUAAGUCCUGCGCCUGGGGAGUACGGUCGCAAGGCUGAA